rnacentral:rRNA from 1 species
UACGUAGGGUGCGAGCGUUACUCGGAAUUACUGGGCGUAAAGGGCUCGUAGGCGGCCAACUAAGUCAGACGUGAAAUCCCUCAGCUUAACUGGGGAACUGCGUCUGAUACUGGAUGGCUUGGAUUCGGGAGAGGAAUGCGGAAUUCCAGGUGUAGCGGUGAAAUGCGUAGAUAUCUGGAGGAACACCGGUGGCGAAGGCGGCAUUCUGGACCGACAUUGACGCUGAGGAGCGAAAGCCAGGGGAGCAAACGGG